UACGGAGGGUGCGAGCGUUGUCCGGAAUCAUUGGGCGUAAAGGGCGCGUAGGUGGCGGGAUAAGCGUGCGGUGAAAGCUUGGGGCUCAACCCCGAGUCGGCCGUGCGAACUGUUCUGCUUGAGCACUGUAGAGGCAGGCGGAAUUCCGGGUGUAGCGGUGGAAUGCGUAGAGAUCCGGAAGAACACCGGUGGCGAAGGCGGGUCUCUGGACAGUUCCUGACGCUGAGGCACGAAGGCCAGGGGAGCAAACGGG
rnacentral:rRNA from 1 species